rnacentral:rRNA from 1 species
AUUGAACGCUGGCGGCAUGCCUUACACAUGCAAGUCGAACGGUAACGGGUCUUCGGAUGCUGACGAGUGGCGAACGGGUGAGUAAUACAUCGGAACGUGCCCAGACGUGGGGGAUAACGAGGCGAAAGCUUUGCUAAUACCGCAUUCGAUCUAAGGAUGAAAGCGGGGGACCGCAAGGCCUUGCGCGUUUGGAGCGGCCGAUGGCAGAUUAGGUAGUUGGUGGGAUAAAAGCUUACCAAGCCGACGAUCUGUAGCUGGUCUGAGAGGACGACCAGCCACACUGGGACUGAGACACGGCCCAGACUCCUACGGGAGGCAGCAGUGGGGAAUUUUGGACAAUGGGCGAAAGCCUGAUCCAGCAAUGCCGCGUGCAGGAUGAAGGCCUUCGGGUUGUAAACUGCUUUUGUACGGAACGAAAAGGCUCUGGCUAAUACCUGGGGCACAUGACGGUACCGUAAGAAUAAGCACCGGCUAACUACGUG